rnacentral:rRNA from 1 species
UACGUAGGGUGCGAGCGUUAAUCGGAAUUACUGGGCGUAAAGCGUGCGCAGGCGGUUUUGUAAGCCAGAUGUGAAAUCCCCGGGCUUAACCUGGGAAUGGCAUUUGGGACUGCAAGGCUUGAGUGCGGCAGAGGAGACUGGAAUUUCCGGUGUAGCGGUGAAAUGCGUAGAUAUCGGAAGGAACACCAGUGGCGAAAGCGGCUUCCUGGUCCAGCACCGACGUUCAGGCACGAAAGCGUGGGGAGCAAACAGG